UGGGUAAAUCAGCUUAUCGCUAUUUCUGGAGAAGAAAUAGAGGAAAGUCCGGACACCACAGAGCACUAUAGCGGGUAACGCCCGUCCGCCGCAAGGCGAGGACUAGUGCAACAGAAAGCAAGUACAGUUCGGCUGUAGUGAAAUCAGGUAAACUCUAUAGGGUGCAACGCCAAGUAAACCGACAACUAAGAGUAGCUCGCUCAAUGUCGGAGGGUAGGCGGUUAGAAUGGUCUGGCAACAGUCCAUCCAGAUAAAUGAUAAGCACUUUCCUCCAAAGGGAAAGCACAGAAUCCGGCUUAUGAUUUACCCACUUU
rnacentral:RNase_P_RNA from 2 species